rnacentral:tRNA from 1 species
GCGGGUUUAACUCAGAGGUAGAGUGUCACCUUGCCAAGGUGAAAGUCGCGAGUUCAAAUCUCGUAACCCGCU